GGGGUGGGGACGCAGCCGCACCCAGCCUGGUGACCUCUGACUGUUUCAUGACCACCUCGGGCCAGGCAGGGAUUGGGGCACUGGUGCUUCAAGCUGAAGGCUAGACCCUAGGGUUGUGCGAAGAGACCCUUUGUGACAUAGGAAGAGGAGCCGGAAAGCCUCAGGGUCGAGUUGGACCAGGCCUUCUCACCUUGGUAGUGGUGGGCAUCACACUAGUAGAUUGACCGCGAAACAACUGAGUGGACCAUAAAGGGCGAAGAGAUAGUAAGCCUACGGCACAGGAAGAUUUUGAUGGUCACUACCCAUAGCCAAAGUGUUGACCAAGCUUGAACUCCCACCACCAGCACCACCACCACCACCACUGCCUUGGGGCAUCUUGGACCUUCUCAGCUACUGUGUGUGGUCUCCCAGACAAGUACUGGGAUUUGCUAUUCAGUAAAAGGACAAAACCAA